AAAGGGGAAGCGUGGGCCCAUCUUCGACGAGAUCCAACGUUUGUCCCUCCUCUUCAUCAUCCUCCGCCUCCCGUAUUUCGGCUUCGUUCCGUCCUUUCCGCGCCGCGCAACUCCUGACACGCAGGCGGACGAGCAGCUUUGGGCCGAGCCGAGCCGCCAGAGCGUUUUUCUGGGACGGGUGCCAAGUGCAAACAAAAGAGGCCAAAAAGCGACGAGGAAUAGAAAACGUUCGUAAUUGUGCAUUUCUUUUUUUUUUCUUUUGGGAGGGUCGGGGGGGAAUAGGAUAGGGGGUGGCUUUUCUUGCAUCAGAUGGCCUUCCUCGUAUGUUGUGUCCACUUUGUGCACUUCUAGCCGUGUGUGUGUGCGUGUGUGUGUGUGUGUGCUUCGAUUUAGCUGGCCAGGCUGCAGCUUUGAAUACUUUUUGCCAGUCUUCGCUGAAGAAGUGAAGGCAUCUCUCGCCAGAGACGAAAGCGUGCGAGAGUACAAACCGUUUUCAUUUUUCACGAGUGGAGCCGUAAGACGGAACCGGCCCCAGACGGCAUCACGCCGCGUCCGGUUUUCGCAUACAUCAGACACUGCGUUUUUAUUUGCCGACGUUCCUCAUUGCUCACAGCAGCCACAUGGCCUCCUAUUGUUUUAGGCCCAACUUGAACUUGAGGCGGGGGGUGUGGGGGGGGGGGGGGGGGGGGGGGGUGCAGCCAAGGCCCGGAGCUGAGAUUGCGGUUCGGAACCGGGAGAUGGUGGAAGAGGAGAGGAGCAAGACGGGUGGGAGACGCAGGUUCGGCCGUCUCGGAAAAGAGUCGUCGAAUUCCGCCGCCCCGGAAGACGGGAGGUUUGAGUCGUAACGUCAGCGAGAGGCCCAAAGCUGCGGAGACAGCCACUGACGCACUUUCGGUCGUGGAGAUGCUGCCGAGCGGCGCCGAAGUUCUACUUCAUGGCGCAGAGGAGGUGAGAAACACAUUGUGUAAGCACACACCAAGUGAGAAGUCACGAGUACUGCAAUGGCAAAUAACAGCGCAGGCUUGUUUUUCGCCGACAAGACCGUUGGGGUGUACGUUCGAGCUGUACGUCCCGACUGGUUCUGUAUGCCGUCACUGGUCAAGUGGAAUCCAAGGCCUGAAAUAUAUUGUUGACCAUUUCAGACGCAAGAUGCGCGGUCAGACGUUGAACAGAACACGUGCCUUUGAACGGAAAGUCUGCUCGGUGUGAUGUGUCGUAGUGAUUCACAAGGUGAAAAAUUGUAUUCUUUGUAUGGUGGAUGCCGAGAUAUAAAUAUAUACACACACACACACACACACACGCGCAUCACACAAUUUUAAUAAUCACGCAGAGGAAAUAAAAAACGCAGUUUCUAAAUGCCAAAAUACAGGAUUAAAAUACAGUAUAUCAAAAUCAAGAUGUGUUAGUGCAGUGAAUUUGCUCGAAUGGAUUAAUGGCAUUUGCCUCUCGAAAGAAAUGCGAGUCAACCAAGGUAAUCCCACUUCGCUUAAUUCGAGUGGUCGCAUUUAGUUUAGACGUGGCCUUUGUUUCAUACGUGGUGUCGAGUAACAUGUUUUUGUGUGUCAAAAGCGAGCAGCAGCAGCACGGAUGAGCGGAUGGAGAGAAUAUUUACACACUGUCCUUUGGGGUGAGGUAGUAGGUUGUAUAGUUUUAGGGUCACACCCUUCCUGUUAGAUAACUAUACAACUUACUGUCUUUCCUGAAGUGACUGUAAUGUCGUCGUCUGAUUGGAUCCCCUCCCAGGACCGCCGAUGACGUUUUCUAAGCGGCAGCGCUCCCCGAUGGUGGAUCCCUGUAACUGCACUUUGCGCUUCUUUGCACUCGUCGACCUUUGUUCCCUCGGCACAGGAUGUUUUUUUUCUUCUUCUUCUUCAUUGCCAUUUGUAUUUGUUUGCAUGCACGUGGUGUGCCUGUGCUCAUGUGAUGUCCCACAAUGUUCCUGAUGUUCGUACGGGGUGAGGUAGUAGGUUGUGUGGUUUCAGGGUAGUGAUAUUGCCCAAUCAGGAGAUAACUAUACAACCUACUGCCUUCCCUGAAGGGCAGCAAUACGCCACCGGGCAGACUUGACACUUGCCUCCCCCGAAGGCUGCAACUCUUCAUGAUGAAGUCACCAAACUGUGAGGUUUGUAUUAUCGUUUUUUUUUCCCCCCUGAAAUUUUUAAUAAAAAUUAUGAAAACCAA